AAGUCGAACGCAUUGUCGUGAUCAUGAUUUGUUAAGCUUGCUUAACAUUGAUUAAUCACUAUACAAUGAGUGGCGAACGGGUGAGUAACACGUGGGAAACCGUACCUCUUAGCAGGGGAUAACAUUUGGAAACAGAUGCUAAUACCGUAUAACAAACAAAACCGCAUGGUUUGUUUUAAAAGUAUGGUUCUGCUAUCACUAAGAGAUGGUCCCGCGGUGUAUUAGCUAGAUGGUGAGGUAACGGCUCACCAUGGCAAUGAUACAUAGCCGAGUUGAGAGACUGAUCGGCCACAUUGGAACUGAGACACGGUCCAAACCCCUACGGGAGGCAGCAGUAGGGAAUCUUCCACAAUGGGCGCAAGCCUGAUGGAGCAACGCCGCGUGUGUGAUGAAGGGUUUCGGCUCGUAAAACACUGUUAUAAGAGAAGAACGUCAGUGAGAGUAACUGUUCAUUGAGUGACGGUAUCUUAUCAGAAAGGGACGGCUAAAUACGUG
rnacentral:rRNA from 1 species